rnacentral:lncRNA from 1 species
CGCACUUGUUUUAAAUUGCCUUAUAUUGAAAGAAGUCAGUCAGGUUAAGUUGAGUUGAGCAAGGUAAACUUUUCAGUUUCUUCCAAAUUUCCUUCUAGCCUAUGUUGCUUAGUUUUCCAGCUCGCAUACUCGUACAUUCCAUGUACUGAUGCCAGUUGGCCUGCAUCGUCUUAUGAUGCAGAUACAGGUACCCCGGAUCAGCAUCCUGCACGUCGUUGAUCCAGCUGAGCACUCCAGAGUCAGUGGUGAGCCUCCUUGCAUUCCGGAGGACUCAAUUAUUUUGUGUUCUUAGUUUUUGUUUUAUUAGGAUGUUGCGGGGUCUGUCCCAACAUCCAUCUCAGUAUUUUAGAGGCUUCAUAGACAGACAGUCAGUCAGUUAGUUUUGAGUCUCUCAUCUAUGUUUAUAUGUAAAUAUUCUAUUUUGAGAUUCGAGUUGCC